rnacentral:rRNA from 1 species
UACGUAGGUCCCGAGCGUUGUCCGGAUUUAUUGGGCGUAAAGCGAGCGCAGGUGGUUUAUUAAGUCUGGUGUAAAAGGCAGUGGCUCAACCAUUGUAUGCAUCGGAAACUGGUAGACUUGAGUGCAGGAGAGGAGAGUGGAAUUCCAUGUGUAACGGUGAAAUGCGUAGAUAUAUGGAGGAACACCGGUGGCGAAAGCGGCUCUCUGGCCUGUAACUGACACUGAGGCUCGAAAGCGUGGGGAGCAAACAGG